rnacentral:rRNA from 1 species
GAGGAUAUUCCGCAAUGGACGAAAGUCUGACGGAGCAACGCCGCGUGAGUGAUGAAGGUUUUCGGACUGUAAAACUCUGUUGUUUAGGACGAAAGUGCCUGUUGCAAAUAGUUGCAGGUAUUGACGGUACUGAACGAGGAAGCCACGGCUAACUACGUGCCAGCAGCCGCGGUAAUACGUAGGUGGCAAGCGUUGUCCGGAAUUAUUGGGCGUAAAGAGCAUGUAGGUGGAUACUUAAGUCUGUUGUGAAAAUGCGGGGCUCAACCCCGUAUUGCGAUGGAAACUGGGUGUCUUGAGUGCAGGAGAGGAAAGGGGAAUUCCCAGUGUAGCGGUGAAAUGCGUAGAUAUUGGGAGGAACACCAGUGGCGAAGGCGCCUUUCUGGACUGUGUCUGACACUGAGAUGCGAAAGCUAGGGGAGCGAAC